AUUGUCGGCAUCGAGAAAUUGUUCGAUAACGAUUGUGAUCUUUCCAGUCGACCUCCAUUUUGUUCUUCUGGAUUUGGUGGAGAUUUGUGAAAUCCUGGCGGAGCUUCUGGUUUUGGAAACUGUGAUAAUGGCCCGAUUCCAUUCUGUUGGUGUAUCAAACAGACAGGAUUUGGAAGAGUCAAAAGCAGAGGAGAAAAGAGGCUCCGAAAUGAAGACGACAAAUGUUUGAGCGAAGAAAACAAUGGACGGGGAAGGAUGGGGAGAGAGACAGAAAUGGCGGAGAAAUCGGGAGGAUUUAAGGGAAGAUUUGAACAUUUGAAAAUAGAAAGGAAAGAAGUGGUCAAAACCUCGUAGUGGAAUCGCUCUAACUCUUCAAAGUCCCGGACCCUCCUAACUCCUUGGACACGUUCUCUUUACUGUGACCAAAUUAUGAAUCACCAAUCGUCCACUGCAUCUUGGCAUUUUCAUCACUUUCACCCGAUAUGUGAUAUGUGAUCGAUAAUUUAGUUCGGACGAGUUUUGAACUCAUGUAAUUGAUAUCGUCACCUAAUGAUUUUCCUCCGAUAUCGGGCACUUUCAUUCGAUUCUA